UAAAUAAAGAGGUAGAAAAGGAUACUUACCGGGGCAAGGCUUAUCCAUUGCAUUCUAGAUAUGCUGACCCUUGUGAUUUCCCCAGAUGCAGGAAACUCGACUGCAUAAUUUGUGGUAGUGGAGGACUAUGUUCACACUCUCCCUUG
rnacentral:snRNA from 1 species